AACACAUGCAAGUCGAACGGCAGCACGGGUGCUUGCACCUGGUGGCGAGUGGCGAACGGGUGAGUAAUACAUCGGAACAUGUCCUGUAGUGGGGGAUAGCCCGGCGAAAGCCGGAUUAAUACCGCAUACGAUCCAUGGAUGAAAGCGGGGGACCUUCGGGCCUCGCGCUAUAGGGUUGGCCGAUGGCUGAUUAGCUAGUUGGUGGGGUAAAGGCCUACCAAGGCGACGAUCAGUAGCUGGUCUGAGAGGACGACCAGCCACACUGGGACUGAGACACGGCCCAGACUCCUACGGGAGGCAGCAGUGGGGAAUUUUGGACAAUGGGCGAAAGCCUGAUCCAGCAAUGCCGCGUGUGUGAAGAAGGCCUUCGGGUUGUAAAGCACUUUUGUCCGGAAAGAAAUCCCUGGCUCUAAUACAGUCGGGGGAUGACGGUACCGGAAGAAUAAGCACCGGCUAACUACGUGCCAGCAGCCGCGGUAAUACGUAGGGUGCAAGCGUUAAUCGGAAUUACUGGGCGUAAAGCGUGCGCAGGCGGUUUGCUAAGACCGAUGUGAAAUCCCCGGGCUCAACCUGGGAACUGCAUUGGUGACUGGCAGGCUAGAGUAUGGCAGA
rnacentral:rRNA from 1 species